rnacentral:lncRNA from 1 species
CAUCCCAUCCUGACCUCAGAACUUCUAGUGAUGGAAAAAUCUGCUGUAACUUUUGUAAGUCCUUCCAAAGAUGAAUGAGGGUCAUGUUGUGGUUUAACCCGGCAGGAGGCUGAGCGCCACACAGUCCUUUGUUUGCUCCCCUCCUUCCCAGGGGGAUGGGGGAGAGAAUUGGAAAAAACUCCUUCCACGUGGUGUCAUGUGGUAUGGAAUAUACCUUUAGCCAGUUGAAGUCAGCUGUCCUAAUUCUGCUCCCUCCCAGCUUCUUGGAACCUUCACUGCAAACGGCCUUGGCUCUGCACAGCACUGCUUUGCAGCACUGUAAACAUCAGUGUGUUAUCAACAUUGUUUUUCUCCCAGGACCAAAACAGAGCAGCAUACCAGACACUCUGAAUAAACAAUUCCGUCCCAGCUGAAGCAAAGACAGGUCACUGCUAGGGGGAAAAAAGAAUUCACCUUGCUUUCAAUCUGCGUUUGUUUAACUUCAGCUUUCAGACCACCUGAAGGGAGCAGCUCUAAAUGCUUCAGGGCGUGUGGUUGAAUAGACUCCUCAACUACCAAGAUGGAGAAGCUGAAGUGGAUCACACUGGUCAGCAAAUGUGACCAGAAGGAAUCUGACACAACCAACCCUUCCUUUGCAAUCAACGUGGGAUCCAAAACAAACCUUCGGCGCUCUCGGCAUCGCUGCCCAGGGAACCAGGCAUCCUGCAAAUAAACACUGAAUUGCAAAUCUGCGGUGGAGAUUUAACUUGAGACCAAAUCUCUGACAGUUACAAAAACUUGAGAUGCAAACAGGAGCUGCGAAGGGAUAUCUGCUGAGUGAUGGGAACUCAGAGUAAAACAGGACAUUAAUUGUAAGAAAUGUGAUGUCCUAAUUUCUCCCCAGCUCCCCAAAUAGAUUGGGAGUGGAAAUAAAUGCUUCCAAGUAGG